rnacentral:lncRNA from 1 species
GUUUAAUUUGUUGUUCAGGCUGUCAGUAACAAGUUCUGGAGUCAUUACAGUUGGUGUGAGCAAGCAAAGACUGUUCAAAUGCAACUAGACUGGCUGGUAGCAUAAUGGAAAGAAUGUCCCAUGCAAGCUUCACAAAGAGGCUCCAUUCUGUGCUUCAAUUACAGCGUUCACCUGAAGGAGGAUUUCCUAGGUAUUACUGAUAAAGCACACGACUGAAGGAGCAUGGAAGUGAUCAUUCCUCUGUAGCUCUGGUGGGCAGGAAACUGCAAUAAGCACAGUCAUGGCAACCACAUCGUAACAGCCAACAGUAUUGUCAGUAUUGUCCACACCAACAGAAGACUGCUUUUCCCUACCCAUGCCAUCAUGGAAACCAGCCUCAACAAACGCAGAGAAAUGCUGCUGCUCCAGAAUUACAUGCAAGAUGUAUCUGAUGUUUCCAUCAUAUAAAAUAGCUCUCUAUCUGUACACGUUUUCCGAGAAUAAGGAUACAGAACUUCCAGCUAAUUAUUUCUGAGAUUAUUUAAGAUCCAGAGGAAAUGUGAGGAUCUGUGACAACAGCGAGCACCACCUGAGGCUGGUUACUCUCCAGUGAAGAUUAGAUAGAUUGAGAAGGUAAUAAAAAGACACUAGGCAAUUUGUUCCA